rnacentral:rRNA from 1 species
AAUCAACGCUGGCGGCGUGCCUCAGACAUGCAAGUCGAACGAUUAAAGCUCUCUUCGGAGAGUGCAUAGAGUGGCGCACGGGUGAGUAACACGUAAGUAAUCUACCUUCGAGUGGGGAAUAACGUCCGGAAACGGACGCUAAUACCGCAUAAUGCAGCGGCAUCGUAAGAUGACAGUUGUUAAAGAUUUAUCGCUUGAAGAGGAGCUUGCGGCAGAUUAGCUAGUUGGUAAGGUAAUGGCUUACCAAGGCUACGAUCUGUAACCGGUCUUAGAGGACGGUCGGUCACACUGACACUGAAUAACGGGUCAGACUCCUACGGGAGGCAGCAGUCGGGAAUUUUGGGCAAUGGGCGAAAGCCUGACCCAGCAACGCCGCGUGAAGGAUGAAGUAUUUCGGUAUGUAAACUUCGAAAGAAUAGGAAGAAUAAAUGACGGUACUAUUUAUAAGCUCCGGCUAACUACGUG